UACGGAGGGGGCUAGCGUUGUUCGGAAUUACUGGGCGUAAAGCGCGCGUAGGCGGACCUGCAAGUCGGGGGUGAAAGCCCGAGGCUCAACCUCGGAACUGCCUUCGAUACUGCGGGUCUCGAGUCCGGGAGAGGUGAGUGGAAUUCCUAGUGUAGAGGUGAAAUUCGUAGAUAUUAGGAAGAACACCAGUGGCGAAGGCGGCUCACUGGCCCGGUACUGACGCUGAGGCAUGAAAGCGUGGGGAGCAAACAGG
rnacentral:rRNA from 1 species